rnacentral:miRNA from 1 species
UGCUUCCUUUCAGAGAGU